GGCGGACGGGUGAGUAACACGUAGGCAACCUGCCUGUCAGAUCGGGAUAACUAUCGGAAACGAUAGCUAAGACCGGAUAGCUGGUUUCUCCGCAUGGAGAGAUCAUGAAACACGGAGCAAUCUGUGGCUGACAGAUGGGCCUGCGGCGCAUUAGCUAGUUGGUGAGGUAACGGCUCACCAAGGCGACGAUGCGUAGCCGACCUGAGAGGGUGAACGGCCACACUGGGACUGAGACACGGCCCAGACUCCUACGGGAGGCAGCAGUAGGGAAUCUUCCGCAAUGGACGCAAGUCUGACGGAGCAACGCCGCGUGAGUGAUGAAGGUUUUCGGAUCGUAAAGCUCUGUUGCCCUAGACGAACAGCAAGGAGAGUAACUGCUCUUUGUGUGACGGUAUAGGAGAAGAAAGCCCCGGCUAACUACGUGCCAGCAGCCGCGGUAAUACGUAGGGGGCAAGCGUUGUCCGGAAUUAUUGGGCGUAAAGCGCGCGCAGGCGGCUUGGUAAGUCUGGUGUUUAAGCCCGGGGCUCAACCCCGGUUCGCAUUGGAAACUGCCAGGCUGGAGUGUAGGAGAGGAAAGUGGAAUUCCACGUGUAGCGGUGAAAUGCGUAGAGAUGUGGAGGAACACCAGUGGCGAAGGCGAC
rnacentral:rRNA from 1 species